CUUCAGGCUGUCUCUUGGAUGGCAGUUAAAAUGGCCACUGCAACAUAACAGUCAUAGCAACUGCGCCUAGCUCAGCAAACAACUGUUAACAGACAACUGUGGACUGUACCACUACAAGAACAGGGAAAAUGUGUAAAUGGAAACUGCAGCAGUACAACUUUUACAAGUGUAUUUUCUCAUUCCUUGCUGGAAAUAAUAAUCACCAAGGACUGGCUUCAAAAAUAUAACCUAAAAUACACGCCAAGGCAGAUAAUUCAAACGGGCAGCAAUCAGUUGCCCAACUUCUACCCAAAAUUGUGUAAAUGCAGCACAGUCCCACAUCACAUGGAGCAAAUGGGCGUCGGGCAAGGAACAUCGGGGACAGCAGGAGUCCGGUCGUACCCCAAUCUUAUGCAGGAGUACGAUACACUCGAUGCAAUAGAAAAAUUUGGGACACCAGGUGAGGCUCCGAUACGGCAAGCCGCAGGGUCGUGGUCAGGAUCAGAAGCCAUUGCUCAUUUGAUAAAGGACCCACAUCCACUUCCCACUUAGCUUUCGAGUCACAGUUUCUAAACAUGACAAUGGCCUCCACAGUCCCUAGAUAUCAAUCCAAUUGAGCACCUUUGGAAUGUGGCGGAACAGAAGAUUGGCAUCAUGGAUGUACAGCCGACAAAUCUGCAGGAACUACGUAAUGCCAUCAUGUCCAUAUGGACCAAAAUCUCUGAGGAAUGUUUCCAGCACCUUGUAGACAAUAUGCCAUGAAUA